AGCGAACGCUGGCGGCAUGCCUAACACAUGCAAGUCGAACGAGACCUUCGGGUCUAGUGGCGCACGGGUGCGUAACGCGUGGGAAUCUGCCCUUCGGUUCGGAAUAACAGUGGGAAACUACUGCUAAUACCGGAUAAUGACGUAAGUCCAAAGAUUUAUCGCCGAAGGAUGAGCCCGCGUAGGAUUAGCUAGUUGGUGGGUAAAGGCCUACCAAGGCGACGAUCCAUAGCNGGUCUGAGAGGAUGAUCAGCCACACUGGGACGUGAGACACGGCCCAGACUCCUACGGGAGGCGAGCAGUGGGGAAGUAUUGGACAAUGGGCGGCAAGCCUGAUCCAGCAAUGCCGCGUGAGUGAUGAAGGCC
rnacentral:rRNA from 1 species